CUCUUCUUCACAGCUUCCAAUUCUUAUUGAUGCUUCCUUUGUAUCUCUUCAAAUGCUCUAUCUUGUGCUUCAAGUCUCACAACUAACUCCCACCAAUGCCUAUAAAUUGAGGAAACACAACAACGUGUUGCAUCUUAAUGAGAUGAAAACAUACAAGAUAAUAACAUAUAAUAGUACCACUAAGAAGCAUACAAUUUACUAAAUUGUGAAUCUGAGUAAAUUAUUAACUAAAUUUGCGAGUAUGCGGAUGGGUCAAUAAAACGGUAUAUUAGUUUGGCAAAACAAGAAGACACAAACUUUUAUAAAAAUUGCUAGUCAAAAUAAUUUACAUGGAUCCCUGCUACACUUUUAACUAGUGUGUUGCUUAAAGUCUUAAGUAGCAUGUGAAUGACUAGUGAGUCCACUAGGGCAGCGUACGACAAUGAACUAUAAUAAUCUACUAGACAUAUUUCAUAAUUAGUUGCAUAAGUAUAGUUGUUUGACGCUUUGGUUACUACAAAAGUUUAGAUCAGCACAUCACUAAAAAAACAGAUCAGUAAUGUACCAAAAAUUUGCAGACCAAAACACAAAAAUGUUUCUUUAGUAAGGAGUGACAUCCAUUCAUCCAUUCAAUAUAUUGAACGAUCUCAGAAUAAUGCAAUAUCUAGAGGUCAUCACCCAACCACUACAGGCCAAAUUAUUCCUAUUAACUUUGUGUUUUCUCAUCUCUGAGUUGAUUCAGACAUGCUAUGAAUUUGGCCGUUCAUCACCUUACGUACAACCAAGUGCCAUAAGCAACUAGCACUAGUACAAUUGUGUGCUUACUCACCUUCCCCGGCAGCUAUAGCUAAUUGUGUACUUGCACUUCAGUUGUACAAUGCUUCCUCGAUCUAAAUAUAACAAAUAAAAAUACAAGUUAUGCACAAAGGAAGGACACGAUGAGCUUAAAUGUUAGGCAUACACAAACAGGUAAGGAAUUGUCAAGUACUGGACUGUAAGAAAACAGAAAGUGGAGAAGCAACAAGCAAGUAGUAAAAUGUUUAAGGUUCAGACUUUACCAACAUAGCAAGGUCGAUAUGAUUAUCUUGAUAUUGCAAACCCAGUCCUGGUACCUACUGUGAGCAGCUGAUUAAUGCACCUGCAUUAUAGGGGAAUAAAACAGUAGAGAAACAAUAUACUAACAAGUGUUCACAUGGAGAAAAAAUAUUACAGAAUAACAUAAUCAUUUUCUCUUUUACCAACAGUAUGAGCAUCUGAAUGAACCUUUUAGUAUACAGAUUUUUUAGCAGCUAGCAACUAUGGUAUGGCCCAUGAUACAAGCCGUUGACAUAUCCUUGUUAACUGUUAUCACAGAAUAUUGACUUCUUGUGCAUAGUUACUAAUAAAAGGCUAUUCCUAGUACAGUUUCACUGUUAAUACUCUGAACGUAGAGUCUAGUCACAUAUUAGAUGUUCUUGAGCAUGCUGGAGAUUGCAUAAUCUUGCAGCUUAAAGUGGAAACUUGAGUUGAAAUUAUCCAUUGUAGAAAUUUAGAGAUAGUCAGGAACAUAGAAGUAUAAACCAUACCUUUGAUAAGAGCAAAGGACAUUGAUCUUACUCCUGAUCUAG
rnacentral:lncRNA from 1 species